GCUGCCUUAAGACUACAGCUUCAGCUCCUGCCUAAGUUGCAACCUGCCAAACUGCCCUAGAGAUUUCAGACUUGCCAGAUACUACAAUCAGGAGCAAGAAGCCAGGGUAGAGGAAACAACAGAGGAAGAAAUGAAGUCAAGGAAGGGACAGAGAAGACACAUCAUCUUGAACUCUGUCGGCCACUGAAAGGACCCUGGCGUUUACCCUGAAUGAGAUGGGAAGCCGUGGGAAGGUUCUGAGUGGAGUUGCCUGAACUACCUUAUAGGCUCCUGGAUGCUGGGUUGAUAACAGAUAUCACAGCAGGAUGAGGGCAGAAGAACAGAGACCAGUCAGGAGACAGUCGCAAUUACCGGGUGAGAGACCACACUGGCCUGAGUCUGGGUGGUGGUGGUAAAGGUAGUGAGAAACGAAUUUAUCCUGGGUAGAUUUGAAAGGUAGAGCAAAUGGGAUUUGUCAAAGGUGUGGGUAGGGGUUACGAGAGGGAGAAGUUAAAGAUAUUCUUCAGCAAAAUGUAUUCAGUCAUGGAUGCAUUUUAAAGAACACUGACUGGGCACUGUGAUGUGCACCAUCGCUUGCGGAAAGCCUUGGCGGGGGCUGUGGGGCAGGGGUGUUAGUAAACAAAUGCUUCCAGCCCUUAUGGAGCUCACCUUGCAGUGACAUGAAGUCAGCCUGUACCUAAGGUUCCAGGUAGUUGUGACAACAUCAGGUGCAUAACACAGAACCCAACACACAACACAGUAGAUAUUAUUAUUACACAAGAUACUUAGCAAAACAGCAAUAUAUUAGAGUAUAGAGAACAUAGGUUGGUGCUAAGGAAAUAUAGGUGAGGGGAAUAAUCGUGAUGGAGUGGGAUAAAGAAUUAAAUUGGCUCAUAUUCCUGUAAUUUCCCAAAUAAUCCAACAUUCUUGGAUUUUGGUUUUCAGUAUGGUGAAUGGUCCAAUAGACUAGUACCAAGGAGGUCAGCGAGCCCGAACCAUGAGCCUCGGGCUCAACUCUGGGAAAGGCCUCAUCGAAUGCCUUUCGGGAUUAGAAGAGCACAGCUUUUUGGUGACCUGCUUUGCUGGGACUAGACUUCAACCCGGGACAUUUAGAAAUGUCUGGAGACAUUUUUAGUUGUCAUGAAUGGGAUGUAUGGGGGAGGAGUAGGCUACUGGCCUCUAGUGAGGAGAAGCCAUGCAGGCAGCUCAUGUCCAGCAAUAGUCAGGAGAGCCUCCCCUCCCCCUCACAAAAGAAUUAUCUGGUCCAAAAUGUAGACAGUGCCCAAGAUCGAGAAACCACAACAUGAAGAAAGGAAAGGUAAAGCUAUCAUCCAAAACCAUAAUGAUGUGGCUUGAAAGUGCUCACACUCUAAUAAAUGGGAUGGACUCUGGAAGGACCUCAUGAUGUCGCUAAUAAGAGAGGAUACUGUCUUCACCAAGGGGUGUGCAAAUGUCUUUUCUUCUGUUGAAAGGUCCUGUUUGCCUAGACUGGGACUGGGUAUACUAGAAGCAGGGAGAGUCUGUUUGAAGAUGUUUUAUUCUGGGAAAAUUAAUGGGCCAGACAAUGCAAAGGAAAAGAGACAAAUUGUACUUUGGUUUCCAAAUAA
ensembl:lncRNA